rnacentral:tRNA from 4 species
GGGGGUAUAGCUCAGCUGGAAGAGCACCUGCUUUGCAAGCAGGGGGUCAUCGGUUCGAGCCCGAUUAUCUCCACCA